GUCCAGCCAUGUGGGUUUGGAAGGGGGAGGCGGGGGAUGGAAGAGUGGAUCGAGGCCCUUGGAGGAAACCGUCGUUUCAAACAGGCAAACUCGUGGAUUGCGUCUGCAACGGAAUAUUUCGUGUGUCCAGAUACACAUGCCUCAAUGUCCUCUGGGUUCAGCUGGGUUUGUACAAAGAGGUGAAGUCUACUGUCUGAAAGCAGUAGAGGAUUCUGCAGAAUCCUUUAAAGAAAAUAAAGAGGAAAAAAUGAACCACCUUCCAAGAUCCAUUUUUUUAACACUGUCUUCCUUUUAAAAAUAUUUUUAACUUAACUUCCAAUACAGUUUUGAAUCCAGUAUAUAUGUUGGCAUGGUUGGACGUGUGCUUUUCUUUAAUAAAUUAUUUGGAAUUUUUGGUAAAUAAAAGCAUGGCACUAAUA